GACGAACGCUGGCGGCGUGCUUAACACAUGCAAGUCGAACGGUGAAGGGAUCAGCUUGCUGGUUCUGGAUGAGUGGCGAACGGGUGAGUAACACGUGAGUAACCUGCCCCCUUCUUCUGGAUAACCGCAUGAAAGUGUGGCUAAUACGGGAUAUUCUGCGCCUGCUGCAUGGUGGGUGUGGGAAAGAUAUUGUUUCGGUGGGGGAUGGGCUCGCGGCCUAUCAGCUUGUUGGUGGGGUGAUGGCCUACCAAGGCGGUGACGGGUAGCCGGCCUGAGAGGGUGGACGGUCACACUGGGACUGAGACACGGCCCAGACUCCUACGGGAGGCAGCAGUGGGGAAUAUUGCACAAUGGGCGCAAGCCUGAUGCAGCGACGCCGCGUGAGGGAGGGAGGCCUUCGGGUUGUGAACCUCUUUCGCCAGUGAAGCAGGCCUGUCCCUUGUGGGUGGGUUGACGGUAGCUGGAGAAGAAGCGCCGGCUAACUACGUG
rnacentral:rRNA from 1 species